rnacentral:rRNA from 1 species
UACGUAGGGUGCAAGCGUUAAUCGGAAUUACUGGGCGUAAAGCGUGCGCAGGCGGCUUUGCAAGACAGAUGUGAAAUCCCCGGGCUUAACCUGGGAACUGCAUUUGUGACUGCAUGGCUGGAGUGCGGCAGAGGGGGAUGGAAUUCCGCGUGUAGCAGUGAAAUGCGUAGAUAUGCGGAGGAAUACCGAUGGCGAAGGCAGCCCCCUGGGAUAACACUGACGCUCAUGCACGAAAGCGUGGGGAGCAAACAGG